AUCCAACUGACGAGUCCAGAAUAGGACGAAACGCGCGUCCUGGAU
rnacentral:hammerhead_ribozyme from 1 species